UCAGGAUUUGAUGUAUUUGUCUUUUAGUGUGAAACUAGGGCAAAUUUCCCCUAUAAAUAAAAGAGUUUCCUUCAUUGUAAAUCAUCCCUCAAGAGAAGAAAUAACAAUUACUCUCUUAACUUUUUUGUCUGAUUUUUUUAAAGCAAUUGAGAGCCUAACAUUCAACCCUUUACCAAUUCAAACAAAUCAAAAACUUCAAACCUAAACCCUUCUUACCCAAAUUCAUAACCUCUAAAAACAAAGAAUUUAAUUUCAAAUUCAUACCCAAUAACUAAAUAUCCAAUUUUCAUGGAGAAGAGUAAUCCGAUUAACGAGAAGGAAGAAGAAAAUGUAGUGUGAUAAUAAGUUGCACACUGCUACUACCGCAUCUAAUUUGCUAUUCUAGUCAUCUGUCCAAGUUACUAUUACUCACAAUUCUUCUUUGAUAAUAUAAAAAGAGAGAGGUUGCUUUAAGUUGUUGUAUUGUCAUGGAAAGAAAUGCAAGUACGGGGGAAAAUGGCUUGGGGGAAAUAUUUUAGAAUGAAGAUGAAGUAACUCACACAAUUCUUCUUUGAUAAUAUAAAAAGAGAGGCUGUUUUAAGUUGUUGUAUUACCAUGGAAAGAAAUGCAGGUAAUGAUGAAAAUGGCUUGGGGGAAAUAUUUUAGAACGAAGAUGAAGAUGCACUACUAUGGAAAAUGGCUUGGGGUGAAUAUUUUAGUAGGAAUUUGAGGGGAGAUUUUGUCAUUUAAUAAGUUAAUACGUGUAUUAAAAUUUUUUGUAUUACUAAUACAUAGAAUAUUGGUGGUAUUAGUAAUACAUUAUUUAAUACACAAUAUGAUGUGUAACAAAUACAAG
rnacentral:lncRNA from 1 species